UUCUGGUUGAUCCUGCCGGAGGCUACCGCUAUUGGAGUUCGAUUAAGCCAUGCGAGUCGCGAGAAAUUAGAUUCUCGGCGUACCGCUCAGUAACACGUGGGUAACCUGCCCUAUGCUGGAUAAUAACCUCGGGAAACUGAGAAUAAUGAUCCAUAGUUCACUACGCCUGGAACGGUGAGUGGAUGAAAGCUCCGGCGGCAUAGGAUGGGCCUGCGGCGUAUCAGGUUGUAGGGGGUGUAACGUACCCUCUAGCCCUCUACGCGUACGGGUGUUGGGAGACAUAGCCCGGAGAUGGAUUCUGAGACACGAAUCCAGACCCUACGGGGUGCAGCAGGCGCGAAAACUUGGCAAUGCGAGAAAUCGUGACCAGGGAACUCCAAGUGCAUCGGGUAAGACCGGUGCUUUUCUUGACUCUAAAUAGGUCUUGGAAUAAGGGGUGGGUAAGGACGGUGCCAGCCGCCGCGGUAAUACCGGCGCCUCAAGUGGUAGUCGCUUUUAUUGGGCCUAAAACGUCCGUAGCCGGUCUGAUACAUUCGUGGGUAAAUCAACCAGCUUAACUGGUUGAAUUCUGCGAGGACGGUCAGACUUGGGACCGGGAGAGGUGUGGGGUACGCUCAGGGUAGGGGUAAAAUCCUGUCAUCCUGAGCGGACCACCUGUUGCGAAGGCGCCACACUAGAACGGAUCCGACGGUCAGGGACGAAGCCUAGGGGCACGAACCGGAUUAGAUACCCGGGUAGUCCUAGGUGUAAACGCUGUGGACUUGAU
rnacentral:rRNA from 1 species